AACGCGAAGAACCUUACCUGGGCUCGAAAUGCAGAGGAAGAUACCAGAAAUGGUCUCGUCCGCAAGGACUUCUGUAUAGGUGCUGCAUGGCUGUCGUCAGCUCGUGCCGUGAGGUGUUUGGUUAAGUCCAGCAACGAGCGCAACCCUUAUCAUUAGUUGCCAACACGUAAGGUGGGGACUCUAAUGAGACCGCCUCGGAUAACGGGGAGGAAGGUGGGGAUGACGUCAAGUCCUCAUGGCCUUUAUGUCCAGGGCUACACACGUGCUACAAUGGCCGGUACAAACCGCUGCAAACCCGCGAGGGGGAGCUAAUCGGAAAAAGCCGGACCUCAGUUCGGAUUGGAGUCUGCAACUCGACUCCAUGAAGCUGGAAUCGCUAGUAAUCGUGGAUCAGCAUGCCACGGUGAAUACGUUCCCGGGCCUUGUACACACCGACAUA
rnacentral:rRNA from 1 species